CUCAGGGAAAGCAAAGCACUUUCUCUCUGUUAGGAAUACAAAGAAAAGAGGCAUCUCCAGGAAGGAACGCCAGUUUCCAGAAAUGGGGCCUCUUCAGGGACUGCCUGAUCCCUUCACAAUGGUUUUGCUCCUGAUCAAGAAAAAGAAAUGUGAUCUCACAGUCUCCUUGUAGCUCUCCUUCACGGAAGCCAUUCUCCUGUAUGCAAACCAAAACGAAUUCUAGGGCAUGGCUGAAAAGUACAUUUGCAGGAAGGACAUGACAGAAUAAAACUGAAGGACUGAAAGGAGAGCCCCUGGGAGUGAUAAAGCAUGGCAGAUAAUGUGCAGAAGGAGGAAUUCAAGAAAAGAAACACCCUACCAUUGUCACUGAACUCCUGGGAUCCCUCAUAAGCUGUCCUUGCACAGUUCUGAUCUUAAAAGCAUUCCCUAGCUUUUAUGAACUGGCCUACAGAAUAGGGCAACAGCUAGUUUCCAGUUUAGCCACUGAAUAGUAGUGCAUAUGGGAACAAUUCCAAGUGCCUCUGCAAAAGGUUUGAAACAAAACUGACAUUUUAAAAUACUAAUUCAGUUUUAAAAGUAAUUCUACAAUUAGUCAAGUUAUUAUUCAUUCUUAGUGAUUUUGAUAGCUCAUCAUACUUUAGGAAAUGGUCUAUUACAUGCAAAUCAUUGUUUAUGUUCA